rnacentral:rRNA from 1 species
AUUGAACGCUGGCGGCAUGCCUUACACAUGCAAGUCGAACGGCAGCACGGGUGCUUGCACCUGGUGGCGAGUGGCGAACGGGUGAGUAAUACAUCGGAACAUGUCCUGUAGUGGGGGAUAGCCCGGCGAAAGCCGGAUUAAUACCGCAUACGAACUACGGAUGACAGCGGGGGACCUUCGGGCCUCGCGCUAUAGGGUUGGCCGAUGGCUGAUUAGCUAGUUGGUGGGGUAAAGGCCUACCAAGGCGACGAUCAGUAGCUGGUCUGAGAGGACGACCAGCCACACUGGGACUGAGACACGGCCCAGACUCCUACGGGAGGCAGCAGUGGGGAAUUUUGGACAAUGGGCGAAAGCCUGAUCCAGCAAUGCCGCGUGUGUGAAGAAGGCCUUCGGGUUGUAAAGCACUUUUGUCCGGAAAGAAAUCCUUGGCCCUAAUACGGUCGGGGGAUGACGGUACCGGAAGAAUAAGCACCGGCUAACUACGUG